UGAACUCAAGUUAGAAUUGUGGUUUUUGGUUAAAUUCGAUUGCAAACUUUUUGCUAUUAUUAGUGAUACUGGUGCUUACUUUACUAGUCGGAAUAGCUAUUUUUGAAAGAGCCUUUUAGUGCAUUGAAAAAUGCGAUAACUUGACUAUGGAAAAGAUGGAAGUUCAACAGAAGAAUGAUAAUAUGGGCAGGUAUAUUCAAGAAGACAGUUUUAAGGGCUUCAAUAAUGAGAUCAUACAACAAUUUCAGGAUAUGAAGAUCCAUCAAGGAGAACUGAAGGAGUAACAAUUGAGCACCAGGAGAUGUAAUUAAAAGCUUACGUUCUACAUGAAUAAAUGAUAUCUUACACAGUUGAAUUUGGUGGAUAUUUUUUGUCCAGUUUACCAUUUCGACUUAGAAAUACGUCAAUUGUUUCAUUCCAUCUUUCUUUUGAGCAAAACUAUUGGCUCCAUGCCGAAUUUAAAUGACCAGAUAUUCGGCUAACUAGUUAUGCACAACAUGUUAGAUGUCAUUUCACUGUGUCCAUAAAACAAUUGUGAGUAUAUUCAUUACGGUCAGGAUAACAUUCACAUAACUUCGAAUAAUUCAAGCGAACUCUAGAUUGUGAUUUCAGAUGACAGAAAGGCCAGUGAAAUUAAAUCUUGAUCUGAAUUUCCUGAUUAUUUUUUCUUAAUAGAAUCAUAGUGAAUAAGUCCAUUUGUUUUGUUACAACAACAGUUUCAAGAAGGGAAGAAAUCAAUACAGAUAUCAGGACAAUCCAAAGUUACCUCAUAUAUACAACUAUAUUCCUUCCUCCAUAAGUCCAAAUUCUUUAAAAAACAAACCAUAUUCAUAUCUUAACAUCAACACCAAAUUAAGAUAGAUAGAAAAAAAUUCAAGAAAUUCUUUCCUUCUUUCACCACUGUAGCUAAACCGCCACAUGAGAAGUAGAAGGAAGGAUGGUGAAGUGAAUUACCUUAGCGUAAUAGUCCCUCCAGACUCUGCGGGCCAUCCGAUGGCCCCCCAAAUCGAACGCCGUGAACUUGAUCUUCCCGAUCAUCAGUUCUUCUGACGUCGGGAACUGCGUCGGUUGGUGCUGCGCCAACCUCUGCUCCCAAAAAGGGAAAAAAAAAAUAUCAAACCCUUUGACUAAAAACUGUGCUACAAUAGACUAUGUUUUCUUUCUUAUAUAAGAAAACAGAGGAAGAGAAAUCUACUAAAUUAUUAAGGAGGAAAGGAAAGGCAAGAGGAAGAGAAGGGAUGGAGGACUGGACCCGACCUCAUCUUUGAGCAUGUGGAGAAGGGUCGUCUUUCCGGCGUUGUCGAGGCCCAAGAAGAGGAUCUUCGCCUCCUUGGCCGCCAGCCCCAGCAUCGCCAGGAUCCCGUACAGCCACUCCACAAGGAACAUCUCUCUGUCUCUCUCGCUCCCCUCUUUCUUCCUUCCUUCCCCCUCUCUUCACGCACAGUCACCGGGGUUUCUCACGCCUUCUUUUUCUUUGCUCCUUACCCUUUCUUAGCCUCGAAGGCGGUGGUAGCCAGAACAACGAGAGAGCAUCCGAGCUCUCGUUCUUUACGAUAUGGACGAAAAGAUGACGAACUUACGGUCUCGCUUCCGUCUUGUUUUUGUGUCGCUGGGCCGGGUCUGGCUGGGCGGAAUAGGUUGUUCCGGAGGAGCAACAGGUGAAGACUAAAGUGGUGAGUAAGGAAGAAUCCUUAAAAUUGGGCUUUGCUGGGCCAUACAAAGGUCGGUCCACAUUUCUGUUUUACCCAUCCAUUAUUAUUAUUAUUUUUUGUGUGUGUUUUAUGUUGUAUUUCUUGGACUUUGUUAUCAUUUCUACUAGCAAGAUAACCAUGUUAGAUUGAAAUAAGGGUGAGAGAUGGAAGGACAUGAUUAUGAAGAAGUAGAUGCUUCUAUUAGAUCACCCACUUAAUUCAAAGACUGGAUUUACCUUUCCAUGAAAUCAAGGUAUUAUUUUGUGAUAGAAAGUCUAUCAACCUUUCACGAUAUCAAGAAUGACUUUGGUUAGAAAAGAAAAUAAUGGAAACUUGAGGAUGGAAGAAAGGGCAUGACACUAGAGGCAUCAGAACCCAAUCCGAUAUGAAACUCGAGCUUUGCUGAAAACCCAGCCCAACACAACCUUAUAUGGGCUAGCUGGGUCGAGGAUUUUUUCUUGAGUGAAUUGAAUUGGGCAGCUGGUUUGGUAUUGUUACAUCAUUUCACUUGGCUUGGCUGCGCUGGUUUCGAGAAUGGUCGAUCUCUUUCUCCUCCGCUACUAGCUGUGUAGUUAAUACCCAACUCUGAGCCAUGGUGGGUCAAAUCUCAGGUUGGGAUGGAGUGGGUUAUAGAUAGUAGGUUCGAGGUUGGCUUGCGGUGGUUUGACCGGUGUAUGCGUACGGGUUGAAGAUCUGCAACAUCCAGUCAGGAUCGAUUCGAAUGGAUACGUUUCCGGAAGUGGCCCAGGCCCACGCUCAUGAUAUAUAUAUAUAUAUAUAUAUAGGCAUAAAAAAUCUGACAUUGAGUGCACCAUCUCUUCCAAUUGAUUCACGUAGUUAUUAUUUUUUAAUGUAUAUUUAAUAUUUUGUAGAUCGAUUUUUGUAUGACGAAGAUAUCCCUGCCUCAAAUGUCAUAUUUUGACUUUGGAUGUCACAAUAUUACCUCGGAUGUCAUAAUUUUUUCUUAAAGAAUAGAGAUAUUUUUGUCAUUCAAAAUUUUUUAUGACAAAAAUAUUUUUUUUAUAAAAAAUUAUGACAUUCGAGAUCAUAUUUGGCCUCGGAUGUCAUAAUGUGAGAAGGACAUUUUUGUUCAAUUAUUUUUCAAUACGUAUCUAAUGUUCGCAGAUCAACUUUUUUAUUUGAAAAUUUUAAAUGACGGAUGUGCUGUGAAAAAAUUAUAAUAUCCUAUAUGAAUAUUAUAAUAUCCCGCAAGUCGAAUGUCAUAAUUUAUUACAAAAAAUAGUAGUAUUUUCAUCAUAUAAAAUUUUUAAAUAAAAAAAUUGAUCUGUAAGUAUUAAAUGUGCAUUAGAAAGUAAAGACUAUAUGGGCCAAUCGAAUGAGACAGUGCAUUCUACGUCGGAUUUUCUAUACUGCUCGUGGUAUGGAAAGAAUUUCUCUCUCUCUCUAUAUAUAUAUAUAUAGUCUCGGUUUAGACGGGGCUAUGUUUUCAAGCUGAUUUCCAAAUCAAGCCUACUUUUUCACCCAGCUCGAUCAAAGGCCUAUUUUUAGUGCCCAAGCCCAUUAAAUUUCGGGCAGGGUUGGAUAGGCCCCCCUGGCCCAUAAUUUGCUCUCAGAAUUUCUCCUAACCGCAUAUACGCCAUUAAAUGACUCCUACAUAUACAACUAUUCCAGAUUUGGAUAUUGCAAAACCGAGAGCAAGUUUAUCGGCGCCAGCUUGAUUUGUAGAAUUAGGUUAUAGCCAUAAAAUUUAACAAACAAGCAACGUUAGUACAGCUUCCAUAGCUUCGCCAUAUAUUCCCUAUCCAACCUCCAAGCCAAGUGAUUUGAGAUGCGCUAGAUCCCUAACCUGUUACUACGUUUAAUAGAAGUAAUCCCACUUAGUUUUCUAUUAUGAUAUCUAUGCUAGAGCUCUUGAUUUGCUUGUAUACAUGAAAAAUCCUCCUCUAGCGUAAGUUUGAACUCUUUUUACAUCACUUAGUCAAAUGCCACUAUAUCUACGGUUUUUAAGAAAGGAUGAUAAGACCAAUAAGAUUUCAUUUAAAUAAUAAAAUGUCACAAAAAAAAAGGAAGAUAGAUAGAAUAACCAAAGGAUGGCGUUAAGGGGGGAAACAAAAAAGCUCCCUCAAUGGGCUAGAUUAUAUGAGCUGCUAUUCCAGAAAUUUUUGGUUGCAAAAGGAAUUUCUAUUGGAUGCCUUUGUGCUACCGUCAUCGAAAUGUCUCCAUAAAAAUGUUUAAUUUGUUGCAUGAGCUUCAAGUGCGCUCUUUGUAAUAUUUUUUCCAUUUCUUUCAUUUUCUUCUUUUAUGUUAGGAAAAUAAGAGUGCCACUAAUCAUUUCAAGAGAAAUGAUGAAAAUGCUACAUAUAUAUACCUCAAUUUUUAAACCUUCUCUAUUUGAACACAGUGCAACUUGCCUUGUCGUAAUGAUCCGAAACAAUCCUUUUGCUAUCCGAAACAAUCCUUUUCCAAUCCAAAACAAUCCCUCUCUUGUAGUGAUCCACAACGAAAUUAACCUAUCCCUCUCUUAGUGAUCCAAAACAAUCUUUUUCCUCAUGUGGAUACAAACUACGACAGGACAUGUUUUUGUCACAUAACCAUGGCAUUAUCUGCGCCAAGUACUCCAGAAAACAGCACCCAAGAAUCAAGCAUCAAAACUCCAUUAUUCCAACAAGUGAUACAACUGCUGAGCUACAGCCCAGCUUGCCGGUGUUCUUCUUUCGAUGGUCCAACACAGACAGUCCUUUUUUUCACGUAGGUGAAGUCGUAACCAAGAUAGCAUGCAGCUGUUUCACAUGAACCGUGACAGUGGCUUUCCCAGAUCUCAUCACACCGAACUUCUUUAUAAAUAUCGUGUCCCCAGGUAACAUGGGAUGGUUUCUGACAUAAAUCCUCGGUCCACUAAUAAUUGAGCAUGCCUGAAGGUCUUGCCAAGCGCACUGGACCCCUUCUAUAACAUCAACAUAGCCUUUAGCUGUUUCUAAAUCGCCAUGACUCAUAAGAGACUUAUUUACUGGGAGCAAGUACAUGCAUCGGUCUCCAUAGUAACUGACCCUUAAGUACCCAUCUGCAUGCUUCCAUGACACUUACCAAACCUGACACAUAUUAUCCCGUUAAACACAAGCCACGGACGAUAAAGUGCCAACUUUGCAUGCAGUACGUGUAAUAUAUUUCUACGAUCUCGUAACAGAUUCCUGGAUACUAAAACCACUUGCUGCUGGUGGUGAAGCACUGUGUUGUCCCUACAACCCUGCAAGUGUUGCUAUAUCCAACCUGACAUGAUAAAGCACGGAUAGCAUGCUCAUUUUAUUUUAAGAUUCGCCAACCAUCAUGGGUAGUUGGAGCAUUGAUGCUUAUUAACGCCUGGGCUACUGCAUCUUGCCCACGUCCUGUGCAUUCACGAGUUCAUGUAAUGGUAAUAAUGGCGAUCACCAUGAAUGGUCCUGCAGCUAUAACGUUAGGACUGACAUUACUACACAGGAGUGUCCCACAACUUUGAGUCUCGAUCGGGUGCAAUCCAGUAGGCUGAUUAAUAUACGGAUGGUAAAGUAGCUCGAGCCAAGAGCACGGUCAACUAGCUAGGUUACAGUCAUACUGACGGCCUACCUCCGGGCUUCGCCAGUCCGCGGACUCUGCACAUUCUGAGGCACAUUCAAGCACAGCCCUUGCGCAUCUCGGAGCGGUAAAGACGUCUGGCUCAUGAGUCCGUACGUAGGAUCCACAAAAGCCACCAUGAAUGACGAGCUCCAUAAACGCUUAUGAGGCGUUCUCUGAAAACGAGGAGAUGAUGGCAUUGAUUGGCAAAAUGAUGAUGAACGCGUGCAAAUUUGGGCCCAGAAGAGAAUUCAUCCAUGUGGUUAUUGCUAACACCGACUAGUGGCCGAUCCCCCGAAGUUGCACGGCCUGAUUUAAUUUGCAUCGCUUUGGGUUCCGUUAGAGGUCCGAAUGAGCUAAACAGCUUGCGAGUUGGUCAUACAUCCAAACUCAAUCCGAUUUGAUUAAUUCGAAUAACAAAAUAUUUGAUUUAAUAAUAUAUAUAUAUAUAUAUUAUUAUUUAAAAAAUAUAAUAUUUAUAUAUUUUUAAUUUAAUAUCAUUUUAAAUUUUAAUUAUAUUUUUUAAUUAUGAUAAAAAUUUGAAUUCGAGCUCAAACUUAAACUUGAGUGAAUGAUUGGAUUGAUUUUUAUAUCCACCUAUCGACUUCGAGUAUUGCAUUUUUUUUAUCUAAUCGAAUUUGAGUUGAGACAUUAAAAUCCGAUGGACUUUGAUUUUAAAUAUUUUGAAUCAAAUCGUAUUCGAAUCUCUAGCCAUCCAGUUUGACUCAGCUAUAUUAUAUGUCUAAUCCACGUGGUAACAUUGGCAUGGUGAAUGCCCCACUUUCAUCGUUUUCUUCUUUUCUCUAAUGACCAUGCUCAAAUUUUUAGGUUGCAUUUGAUGCAUCGCGAGAUAAUCUUAAAAGAUAAUAUAGAUUAUCCUCCAGAUAGAUUGUCACCAUUAAAUUAUUAGCAAUAUUGAUUACUAUAUUUGAUACACGCAGAUAAUACUAUAAUAAAAUCAUUGAAAAUUUUAAUUGGUACGUUUGAUAUGAUAAUUAAAUUACUAAUAAUGUAAAAUCAAAUUUUUAAAAUAUUUCUAAAUCAAACUCCUAUGUUUGAUGCAAAUAAAGAUUGUAGUGGCCCUUGUCCAAUCCAAUAACGAUAUGUACACGAAAGUAAACCUGGCAUCUUGAACACAGCUAAAAUUUUGGUUUGGCGCUCCCCCUUUGAGGACAACCCCACCGCCGACCACCAUCCGCUGAUCAGAUCCAACUGCAGGCAAGCCUCACACUCGUCAUGGACAAGAAGGAACACCUCCAUCGUCCAGUUUAUGGGACCUUUGAACGAAAUUGUAGACACAGACAGAGAUGGAGGGAGAAGAAAGUUGUAGGGAUCCUAGAUCCAGAUGAAAGGAUCAAGGAAGGGAGGGGUGCUAGCAACGGAGAGCUGGGGGAGAGCGGAGAAGCAACAGCAAAGCAUGGGAUGACCUCGGGCUCUUGCUCGAAGAUCUUCUUCUUGUAGGUCUUCGAGUUUUAUGAGGAGAUUGUGAUUCUCAUCAUUAUUAUUGUCGUUGUUACCAUCUUUACGAUCAAGGGAGGAAUGAGAGGAAUUCAUUGAGAUAAAAGGAGGGUCCCAGAUCCGGAUGGAGGGGCCAAUGAGGUGUGAAAUGCCAGCAGUUAAGAGUUGAGAGGAGGGAAGAGAGGCAAUAGUGUGACAUCAUAUGGAAGGAUCUCAGGCUCUUGCUCUAAAAUUUUUUCUUAGAGGUUUUGGAGUUCACGAGGAGCCUACACUCUUCUUUGUCAUCGUCACCAUUUUCAUGGCCGUGGGAGGAAUAGAAGUUCAUUGGGAUAGGGGGAGAGGGAGAUAGUGAUGGGGCUACUUUCCAUCGAUAGUGCUACCACGAUCGGAGAGAAAAAUUUUGUGUGAUUUUUUUUUAAAAAUAAUUUUAUCCAAAUUUUUUUUAUAAUAUUAUUAAAAAAAUAACAAUCUAGAUGGUCAUCUUUUUUUCAAUACUAUCUGAAUUAUCUUUUAAAAAAUAAUAUAGAUUGCUAAGAUAAUCUGUAUUGUCGUUCAAAAAAAAUAUUAAAUAUAAUUAUCUGAUAAAAUUAUUUUAAAUUAUUGAUAAUCUGAGAAGAUUAUCACCCACCAAACACAAUCUCAGGCUUUUCAGCAUUCUUUCGUCUGUAGUCAUGUUUUAGUUCUAGAGUUAUCAGACACAACAAACUAUGCCGCUAUAAUGAGAACAGCAACGCGUUGAAAGCAACAACUUGAAUCCGAUUUGGAGUCGUUGGUUCAUUAACUCCAGCACUCAAUGACUCAUCUGGCUGGAGCCAGAUGGUAUCACCAAGGCAUAGCCCAAUCUCGCAAGCCGCUUGUCACAAUCAGUGAACGGCCCAGAUUUCUUUACCCAAAAAAAAAGGCCCAGAUUUCGAGGGUAUGAUGAAUUGGGCGUUAUAUAGGUGGUAGGGAGAAAAUUUAAAAAAUAUUGCAAACCGUGGAGGCAGAUGAGAGAAAGGCGACGAACAGAAGCGGCCAAAAGGGAAACAAAAGCCAAGGGGAAGCUCUGGGUUGCCGCUUUAUGACGUCCGGGUGGGAAAAGUAGUUUGGAGUUUUGGAAGGAUGAAACCCGCUUUUUAUGCAUAAGCUUUGCCUUAUUUUUAACUUUCUUUCUGUUGGCUUCGCAACGUCUCGCCUUUGGGACCGCAGGAACAAAAAAAAAAAAAAAGCUAAUGCGGCCAAAAAGACUGUACCAGACCUGGUCGAUUCGGACGCUGAUUUGUAUACGAUCACUAUAAUCUUUUCUCAGGCUAGUCGUGGAUUCUUCGCCGAAUACCUCCCCUGCUGUUAACUAGUAUUAGUAGCUUAGAAGUUUAAGAUGAUGGUGAGCGGUUCUCAGUGCUCACAACCAGUGCCCUCCAACCUUAUCAUAAUUACGGAACAUGAUGUUCCAGUGACCCGUCUCUGAUACACCGUAUUAUUGUUGUGUUUCAGUUGAUGGACGGUGUGGGUUGAUACGGCUUCUGCAAGGGGAUCUUCGCAUCGUCACAUCAAAAAGAUCAGACGGCGCAUGUCGGGGGAUCAACAUACUCAUUGGCCGUAUCGCCUCACGGGUACUUCACAAACACCGGUGGGUGCAGCGGCAUCUGACGGUGAUUGGACGGGUGGCUUUUCUUCGUUCUCUUAUUUGUAAAGAAGUGUAUGUAUACACUUUUUUCAUCACGAUCUUACCCCAACCAAAGAAGGAAAAAAAGAAAAAAAAAACGAAAGUGCAUGUAUACAAACACAGGCCGACAGACGUAGGAUCCUUCUUCACGAGCUUCGGCUAGUAAUUAGUAGGUUUAGACACGUAAUCAAACAAAGCCGUGUACUUGAAUGCACGUUUAAUUUGAAAGCAGAAGUUUUAUAAUUGGGGUUAUUUAUAAAAUCACGGACACCGCCCGCCAUUAACGGCACCGUACAAUUUGUGCGGCAGACCACUGAUAUGGUGGCAUUUCCGUUAUUUAGUCUGAAACUAUGGGCGAGUAGUUAACACAUCCUUCAUAAACAUCUCGCACCGAGCUACUCUACUAGGCCGCUGCUACUUACUUUCUGUCAUCUCGUGGUUCCGAAAAAGGAGUCAUCAUCACCUACCUCUCUCUCUCUCUCUCCCCCUCUCGAAAGGGAGAUUGGGCGGCGGGGGCGGUGGAUUCCGGCGAUGUGGUGAGAUUCCGGCGGGAUCACGUCAGAUUUCCGGCGAUGUCGACUGCCGAGAGGAGUAGACGGACCGUCGCGUGCUUGGCUGUAGUCCUGUUGAGCGUCUGGCUUCUGCACGGAUUUGUGUGCUUCAACUGUCGAUCGAUGGCACUUCGGAUAUUCCCAGUGAACUCCGGUGGUAAAAGUAAGGGGGCACCAAUCAUCGGGCGGAGGCCCAUCCCUCUCCGUCCCUCGGCGGCGGCGGCGGCGGCGGCGGCGGGUGGUAUUCAUGACAGCAAGCGGGUGGUGCCCAGCUGCCCCGACCCGCUGCACAACCGGUAACCAUAUCUCUCUACCAGAAUGUCGCUGUCUUUUUCCUACAACUACGGAUUAAAUGGGGAGGUCUUUUGUUGUUUUCCUUUUCAACUUUUUUUUUUAUGCGUAUGUAUAGACGAUGAAGGGAGGAAGAGGAGGAGGCUUUGUAUUAGUAGAAUCUCCUGCAUUUGUAAUUUAAUUUGUUCUUAAAUCAAUGCUGUUACCUUACUAGAAAUGUAACUAAGAGAGGAGAUUCUUGGCAUACAGAGUCUAGUCUUGUUUAAGGUCUGAGAGAAAAACUUGCGGAAAUAAAAUCAUAUAUUUUGUUCUAUGAUACAUCUCCACUUCUAAAAUUUCUCUCUUCUCAUCUGUUGUUUUAUUAGCAAAAAGGAAGGGGAGAAAAAACGAUUCCCAAUAUAAGGAUAUGUUAAGAAUCACACAAACUGGUAUGGUAUAGAAGGAUAUGCACUUAACCAGAAAAAACAAGAAAUUUCAUUUCUGAAAUCUCUCUCUCUCUCCCUCUCUCUAUCUAUCUAUCUAUCUCUAUCUCUCUCUCUUUCCUGUUUUUUAUUUCAGUUCUAUCUUCUUGUAUUCUGAUAUCAAGGGUUUAGAAGUUUUGGGGCGUGGUAUAUUUACCAAACCAAGCAAGUAACUACCGGCUACCAGACUAGAAAUAGAAAAAGGUCUAAAGACUUGACAUAACUGAACGUCCGCAUAGGGGCGUAUGUAUGGCAGAUCUGUGUCGUUGACCGUGUAGAGCAGGCUGUUCGGAUUUGGAAGAUGAUAAUUAAUUACCAACCUUCCUCUUCUUCUUUUUAUCACUUAACAUGAAACAUUUCCACCAUAUUUUGUGAAAUUUGAGAUAGAUUAUAGAUCUUAUAAAUAUACGACCCAGUCAAGCGGUCAAAUCGAGUUACCAUGACGUAGGUUUAUGUUCGGAUACUUUUGUCACUAAUGGAAAGGAAAGGGGUAUUUAAGUCAUCCAAGCGUCGUCGUCUGGGUCGAGAUAUCGGGCAGGCUGGAAGUUGGAGGGUGACGCCAUAAUUCUCCAGCCAUGUUCCUAUGUGACAUUUCCCUUCCCUAUCCUGUAACGACCGUAUUUCAAAACCUAUGCGAGCUGAUGAUCUGCAAUCCAAUGGGCAUCAGUGGAUGAUCUGGACGGUAGAUCUGAAUCCGCAUAAGAAUUAUGCUAAUACGGUUUUGGAUUAGCUGGCGACAAGCGGCGGUGAGAGGAGGUUUGUCGGCUAGCGGUUUGGAUGGGAAUCUCAUUGACCUGCAGCUCACCACCUCAACUUUGUUGCAUUCAUUAAAUAUUAUUGGGUCGAUAUGACUCAUAGAAGAUUAAGAUAUUUCUGGUUUUUAAUUUAAUUGUUAUCCAAACCUCUCUUCACGUCGUUCAAAAAGGCUAUUAGUCCGAGUUCUCCUACUGCACUUCAGUGGUCAUGUGAAUUUGCUUUUGCUCUCCUUGAUGGAAUCAAAUUUGACCUGGUGUGAAAUCCGUGGUGGUGUUAUUGGUGCUAAGACUGGAGUUCUGGUUUUUUUGAUGAAAAUGGAAGAAGCCUCGGGCUUCCAUCAGAAUUUGUUACGAGCUUAGCUAAUUACAAAAGAAGUGGAAUGUUCGUAAAAGCAAGUUCAAAAACCUCCAACUCAAUUUGUAAACUGGAAACAUAAAAUAAUAUUCCUCUUUACAAUUGAGAGAGAGAAAUAAGUGUUCUACUUAAUUAGCUUCAGAUGAUCUUCUUCACGAGUCCAUUUACAUAGAAUCUAGAUAUUUUUUAACGCAGUUGAAACAUUUCUCAUCUUGUUCCAAAUCUUUGCAAAAAGAGGUAGUAGCUUAUGAAUACACAGGAUAGACCAUUUGUUGAACAAGAUGAAUCUUUUCAUAGCAGUGGAGUGGAUAAACUGGAGUUCUAUUGCUCCUUCAGUUUUUGUUUUCUAAUUUUCAGAUUUAAAGCAAGUUUUCUUGUAAUUUUCUCAUCCAAAAUACUCUUAAAGGCUUUACUCACUCAAAUUUCUAAAAUUCCAAAAGGGCAACUUAUUUUGCUAGUGAUAGAAAUAAGAUCAUUUCUCAAUUGUAAAAUAAGUCCACAGGUUGAGAAGGCUGCUCGUACUCUAUCUUGUAAGAUGAAGAAUGAUAAUAUUCUUUUGAAAGCCUGAAGAAAUCGACUCCAAGUUUGUAACUGUACUAAAUAUACAUAAUCAUCAAGUGAAGAAUGUAGAAGUAAUUCAUCAUUAUGUGUAAAGAAACUGAGAAGUUCUGAGGGAUUUGUCAGAAGGAAACUCGAAGCCAUUAGAAUUUAAAGCACAAAAGAGAGAAGUUCUAUUUUUGUCCUUAUAUGAUUAUAUCUCCGUCAAGACUCUUCCUCUAAAUCUUUUUGUAUGCAUCCCACAGGGUAUCAUGGGGAUGAUCCUGUAAAGUCAUCAAUAACUGCCAAAUUUGCCCAGGACAAAAAUGUUUCAAGCAUUAAGUUCGUGACAGGGGAGAAGCAAUGAUUAAUUAAAAGAAAAGCACAAGCAAAAUUAUUAUAAUGGUCAGAAGGACACAAAAAUAAACAAUAAUAAAAACGAUGAAAUAAAAUAUAGUUGCAGUUGAAUGGAAAGAGGCUCUGUCUUUCAACUUUUUCAAAUUAGUUUAGUUGAUUUAUGUCGUAAUUACAAGCUCAGCACCUAGAUAUACUUUCGCUGGAGAAGAUGAUUCAGAUGUGAUUCAAUAAAAAAGUUUAGAAGGAGUUCAGGCAGUUAAAAUUCAAAAUUAAAAUUAUAACUUGAAAAAUAUGAAUCUUAAUGAAGCUAGAAAUUUUUAAAAUAGAAUAAAUUAAUAAAAUUUUUUCAAUAAAAUUUUAACUUAAAAAUAGCUCUCCAUUUAAAUUUCAAAUAAAAGUAGCUUCCCGUUACAAAUAUAAAUUAAAAAUAAUUUUUCAAAUAAUAUGAAAUGACCGAAUUACCUCUACAGCUAAAAUAAUACUAUGAUGUUAUAAAAUAGUACUACUUUAUUGUAAUAUUGCACUAAUAUAAUAUAAUACUGUACUAUUAUAAAAUAAUAUUAUCGUAUUAUAAAACGAUACUUCUUUAUUGUUAUGUAAUACCGUUUUAUUGUAAAAAAAUAUCAUCUUAUUGUAAUACUGUAAUAAUAUAAUGUAAUGUAAUACUGCCUUAUUGUAAUGUAAUAUUGCUUUAUUAUACUAGCACAGUAUUACAAUAAGACGGUAUUCUUUUACAAUAAGAUAGUAUUACAUCACAAUGAGACAGUACUGUUUCAUAAUAUCAUAAUAUUAUUUUAAUGUUACUUUAUAAUUAUAAAAAUAAUUCGAUCAUUUCAUACCAAAAUGAAAAAUUACUUUUAAUUUAUGUUUGGAAUGAAGAACUAUUUUUAUAUAAAACUCAACUAGAGAACUGCUUUUAAUUUAAAACUAGAACUAGAGAUUUUUCAUUAGUUUACCAUUUAAAAUAUCACUAAACUUGUUUAUUUAAAAAUAAGUAGAGAAAAAAAAAGAAUAAUAAAAGAUAGAAAAAAAUAUCACAGCCGCCAACCAUAUAUGGGCCAUUAAACAUAUAAAAUUUUCUUAAAUUAGUGAUGAAUAAUUUGUGAACAAAUUGUAAAUUUCAUAUAUAAUUUGAGUAAAAUUGCAUAGUUCAAGAUUCACUUAUUUUUGGAGAAUUAUUUGAUCAUUAGAGAAAUCGAGAAUAUUUCAUGAUUUUAAAUAAUUUAAAAAUUUUAUAGCUGUGAUUUUGUGUUAAUAAUUUUGCACAAUUGGGAAUUGCUCUCCUCCAAAGAUUGUUAAGCUCUUAAUUAAAAUCCAAUAACAGAUAGAAUUCAAUCUACCAUGACUUUGUAUAAUCAUUCAACAUUUUACGAGCUUGAAUCACAAUAAUUAUGAUAAAGUGCAACCGAUAAGUUACAUUAUAGCUUACUAAAUGGCCGAUCAUGCACGUGGGGCAUAAUUUCUCCAAACAAACACAAUAAAUACAUAAAUCUCUGGUAAUAUUUAUUCUUGUCCUAUAUGUCAGGAAGGAGAUGGGGACGCAGCUAAUAUUUUCAAUAAUUUCUUGAAAAUAUUUUUUAAUUAAAAAUAUUAUUAAAAAAUAUUUUGAAAUAUUUAUUUUUAUAAAAUAUUUUUAAUUUAAAAAAAUAUUUUACAAAGUCCAGAAAGCGUUUAAACAGAAACAAGAAAAAUGAAGCAUGCCUAAUAAAAAGUGCCGGAAAAAGAAAAAAAAAAGAAAGAAAAAAAAAAGAACUCAUCCCAUGGAUGCAAAAUCCACAGCUGAGAGCCACCAGGUUGUCCAAGCACGGCCCCUGCACAUGCCACAAGGGCGCACCCGCCCGCAGGCCGAUGCCCGCGCAUCGCGCGGGGAUAUCAGAACCCGUACUCCUCCUCGUGCUGUCCGUUUCCUUCUCCCCCAAUCCACCACGUCAAUUCAUCUGUUCCCCGCCCAUCCAAGAGUCCCCUCUCUCCCCCCACCCCACCCACCCUUAGUUUCCCAGACCGAAAUAUACUUCGUAGCCCAACCACAUUACCAACAAUCGGUCUAUCCUCCGUGUCGAAUGAUGGUUGGCAUCUCACGCCAUGGUGACCCCACCGGCCUCCUCAACUUCACCAAUUUCCUCAUGCCGUAUGGCAUAGAAGUCACGUUUAGCACCUUAGCUUGGCACCAUAGGGUUCACGUUGGGACACAGGCCCGUGACGACUCCGCACACUGCGGCGGGUCCGAGUACCCCAGCUCCACGUAGCCUCGCUGGCUUUGGACGACUUCGGCACAGCCACAGCGCUGUACGGCAAGUUAUUUUUCUUCUAUUUUUAAGCAACCAUUGGAUCUAUCUAAGAAUCGCAGACCUAACACUGCUUGAAACUAGAGGCUGAGGAGUUCUCGCCUCUCCCAGGUGGCCGCAGGCUUUCUAAUGUUCCGUGUUUUUUUUAAAGGAUUGUCCACCAUGGUCGUGCCAAGUUGGUCCUUUGGUGUUGGGAGUGGCCGGCACGCCAUUAAAGACUCGUGUGAAAGUUUGAGCCUUUGAGGCUACCUAGCUUACCUGGUCGGCGCUGUGGCUUUCCUGGGACUGGUUCUAUUCAAUGAUGAUGGCAGUAGAUGCAGAAGAUGCUUGUUGAUUAGAGGCACUGAUUUCAUUCCUUGGAUUGCUGCCUAACGGAAAGGAAGUAAAUAUUGCGAGUUCAUAAUUGGAUUGUUCAGCUGCAGCUAUAAAAUUAUCUAAUUGUAGGAGAGGGACAAGAAAAGGGACGGGCGAACUUGCUUGGUGGUAGCAUGCAUUAAAAGUCCUGUACCUUGCUUGAACUAUACACCAAGCAUGAGAUAUAACACUGAUCGAUAUGAAUGCUUCGUCUUUUGAAGUAAAGAGAAGAAGAAGGUUAUCUCACCCGCAAGAGUAUUGGUUUUGUAAGAUUUGAUCGAUAAUUCAACCUGAAACAACUUACUUAGAGAACUCUUAUAUCAUCAAGCUGAAGCUGUGAGAAGUUGGGCCUUCGAAUGAAUUCACUCCUAAAAGUAAAUGUUAAAAUUUGAAAUGUGGCCAUAGAUGCGGAGACACAAACCUACUCGCAAUAACUACCACUAUUAAUGUAUUAUCACACAAAGGUCCACCACUUUCUCUCAUGAAAAUUUAUUGACAAUGGUACGUACUGAUACUACACCUACCCUGGCCUCUUAAAAUAGAAAGGUAGAUUUAUCUGUUGACCUUCAACCUUUUUCUUCUUACCUUUUUCUUGAUCUAAAAUCUUCGUUCACCCUUUUAUCUUAGGAUAACAACAAAUUACAGCCUUGAACUGUACAUUUCUGCUUAAACAAGCUAACAUGCGGGAAUAUGCAUGCAUAGUUACCAUUUAGUCAUAUUGACGGCUUGUAAUUUUUGUGAAGUGGCAUUUUUCCCACCCAGAUGAUAGCUCUUUAGCUGACGUUUUCUAAAAUCUUAAUCUUAAAUAUUUUUUUCAAUUUUGAGAUCUUAAGUUAGAUAUAUGCAUGUUUUAUUUUUUUUUUGGUCAAGAAAAGCUCAAUUUAAGUUGUAUCAAGGAUUUUUUGCAUAAUCAUCCGUAUAUUUUUUUUAAUAUUGUCGAAAAAUGGUACCUUGCAGAUGGUUGCAGUAUGGUCCUUAUGUUUCUUGAAAAUAUGUAAAUUAAUCAUCAUGCAUUGCUCUGUCAGCGUAUGUAGGAAUCAAACUCAAUGCGCUCUAAUUCUAACAUAAUAUACAGAAAUACUAGCUCAACAUCUCCUGACUAUGUUACCUUGAACACUUGUACAGGCAUUUUAAGAAGUAACUUGAUACUAUAUAUCCAAGGGCUUAUGGGAUACCUUUAAUGGAAUGUCAGACUGAUGCAUCAUAACUAAAAUGUUUAGAUUUUUCCUUAAUAUAGAAACGAAGGAGGAAGUUAUGCAUAAACACGUACUAAACCUCCAACUAGAAUGUUGCUAUAUCAAGUCAAGCUUUCAUCUAAGGCUCCACGUAAUCAAGCUAUUCAUGAAAAGACUCUGCUCAGCUUGAUAAUAAGCUCAUUCAAACUAGUGCAAUUAGGAAAUUAACAAAGCUUCAACCUCAUUUUACAGCUUGAUGAAUAAACAAACCAAUGCCAAACGCUCUAGGCUCUAAAAGUGGUGAAAAGUCGAGCUCGUAUCUAUAAAUUGCUUGUUCGAGCUCAUUGAUAGGAGAUAAAUCAAUGUUAAAUAUGUUUAAUUUCAGUUUAAGCUUGAUUACCCUUGUCAGUUACCAAGCCAAGCUUGAGCAGCCCAAAUCUUGGUUCAAACAAGCUCAUUUCCUCUUUUUUUUUUGAAGUGACAAAAUUAAGCUAGCCAAGUAAGAUUAUUCGAAGAACAUAUGCAUAGUAUAUGAUAAAAAGUUUUGCAGAGAAAUCCACAACUUUCUAGUUUUUGCGGAAACAAGCGCAUACUAUAUACUAGUAUUUGUGUACUUGAUGCUAGAACUGAUGCAUCGUGUAUCAUUACAUAGAGAUGUCGAAAUUAGUGCACAUAGCUUGCAUGAGUACAAAUGCUGAAAAAAUGGCGGAUCACCAUGGUUGGUUCUCCCUCAAAGAAGGCUAACAAGCCUAGGAAACUAGCUAAUGAGACAGCAGCUAUAGAUGGCUGGGAGCUAUAGAUGGCUGGGAGCCAAUCUGCGUAACCUAGUUCCCUGCAGCGUCUCUCCCGCGGCAGAAGUUAGAGAAGUGAAGCACGGAAAAAGAUAGGGUGAUUGUUGCGGCCAAUCUCCUCGUCGUCUGGUCGCCGAGAACGAGCGUCUGCAAAAAAAAUCCGCACUGACCGGAGGUGACUCCGACGGAAAUCCUCCGACGGUCAAGUCAGAGAGGAGACUAGGCAACAGUAAACAAAAAUCAAGAAACUCGACGAGAGAGGGUGAGAGCGAGAGCUAGAGAGCUAGAGAGGAGGAGGAAUUCAAGGGUUUCGAAAAGACCUCCUCAGCACUGUUGCCUUCCCCGAUAUAUAUAGUGGAGCGCGGUAUGGCCUCAUCAUUAAUGGCGCAGACAAUGGAAGAAUUGUCAAAUCGCCGAGGACUGUCAGAGCCACCGUGAGGUUGUCAAAUCGUCGUGGGGCUGUCAAAUCGCUAGGGUUGACCCAUGCCUUAAGUGGAAUAAUGCCCCAAGGCGGCUAUGCCGCAUGCCGGUGUCAGGACUGGCAGCCUCCUGCAGUCGUACGGUGUUUGGAGGAGCCGACCGACUAUAGGUCGGUUGCUGGUUGAGGGACGUCGGGCGGAAGCCCGGGGAACCUCCGGCAGUCUGUCGGGCGCAUUGUGGGAGUCAGGCAUCGGGCUUCAUAGUCUGGCCGAUCGAGAGCGAAGAAGGUUUGCCCGACCUACGUAUACUCGGUCGGUCGGCGACGGCAGCCGUCGGUCGGCAGAGUCGGGCGUCGGUCAUGUAGGCCCGACGGUGAGUCGGCGUGAGUGGGGUCGGUCGGUAUACCCCAACAGUUGCCCCCCUCCACUCCUGAGUCGGAUGGUGCGCGGGCUAAUGUCUUUGUAUGGGCGGCAGCGUCGGGCGAAAGGAGUGGAAUCCCAUCGCAUUAAGUCCCGAUUCUGAUGACCGCACCGCUGGCUGAUCCGGUGUCAGGCACCUCAUGAGUGCCAGUCGAUUCGCCGGUGUCAGACGUCCCAUCGGUGUCAGAUGUCCUGUCGAUGUCAGAUGUUCCAUCCCAUCGACGUCAGACGUCCCGUCUUGUUGGGAAUGGAAACCGUCGUUCCCGUCGCCCCUUCGGGGAUGCGAAACAUCACGACCUUUUCGCCACAUGGCAGGUGGCCAUUAGGCCGGGUCUGUUCGAGCGGAUGGAGGUGACGUGGCUCGAUCUGAGGAUGGGUGCGUCGAACCGUCGGGCCGAAAGAUGGCCCGAAUGUCAUCACGUGGCGCGAUCUGGGAGUUCCUCGUUGGUCGUGCUUCCAUCUCGAUCGUCGGGGGGCACUAUAUAUACAAGGUCGCCUGCAUCCAAAUUUCUACUUUCCCCAUUUGCUGUCGAAACUCUGCCCGUGCGGUCCCCAGCUCCAGGUAACCGUCUCCAUUUCUCCCCUCUUUGGAGGUCCUUUUUCUUUUCCUAGGGGCCUGCCCCCGUUGCCCGUCUUCUUCCCAUUCUCUGCCCUCUGUUCUGGUUCAUGGCUAGAACAUCUCCAAGAGGAGGUCGGUCGGGGGAUCCGACUGACGAUCCUCGGUAGACCCCGGAGGUGGAGGUCUCUUCACUUUCGGGGCCGAACAUCGAACGGCUCCGGGAGCAAUAUGGCAUCCCGAAGCAAUUUCGACUGUUCGCCCCUGGUGCCAACGGUCGGGUCAACAGCUCGCCCGAGGACCAGGUGGCCUUCUACAUCGAGGACCUCCGGGCUGGUCUUCGCUUUUCGGUCCCGAAGUUCGUCCGGAACGUUCUGGACUAUUACGGACUAUGUCCGGCAUAACUUGCGCCGAACUCGGUUCGGCUAAUAGUCAGUUUUGCCCUGCUGUGUCGGAUUUUGCCUACUAUCCCUUGGAUUUCGCUCUUCCGAGCAUUUUUUAUCCUCCGACCCCACCCUAAAGCCCGAGGGUGGUGGUACUUUAAUCCUUGGAAGGGGCUUUCUUUCAUCACCGGUCUACCAUCGUCCAUUCAUGGAUGGAAGAACCAAUUCUUUUUUGUCUCUUCUUCUAUUCCUUGGGGGUUCCCUGCCCAUUGGGGGGACCCCCGAACCAAGCCGAACGAGAACAGUCGGGUGGAAGCCGGGGACCGGGAAGACUUCCACCGCUUGAAAGAUAUUUUGGUGCCGAAGCAGAGGGAGCUCGUCACCGAGCAUGCCCUGUACGACGUCGGUCUCAGUCCGAUCCCUCGCUUAGGUUCGCUUUCUGUUUUCCC
rnacentral:lncRNA from 1 species